rnacentral:rRNA from 1 species
AACACAUGCAAGUCGAGGGGCAGCGGGAAGUCAGCUUGCUGACUUUGCCGGCGACCGGCGCACGGGUGAGUAACACGUAUCCAACCUCCCGCAUACUCGGGAAUAGCCUUUCGAAAGAAAGAUUAAUGCCCGAUGGUUUCAAGGGAUUGCAUGGUAUCUUGAAUAAAGAUUCAUCGGUAUGCGAUGGGGAUGCGUUCCAUUAGGCAGUUGGCGGGGUAACGGCCCACCAAACCUACGAUGGAUAGGGGUUCUGAGAGGAAGGUCCCCCACAUUGGAACUGAGACACGGUCCAAACUCCUACGGGAGGCAGCAGUGAGGAAUAUUGGUCAAUGGGCGAGAGCCUGAACCAGCCAAGUAGCGUGAAGGAUGACUGCCCUACGGGUUGUAAACUUCUUUUAUAAGGGAAUAAAGUUCUCUACGUGUAGAGUUUUGUAUGUACCUUAUGAAUAAGCAUCGGCUAACUCCGUGCCAGCAGCCGCGGUAAUACGGAGGAUGCGAGCGUUAUCCGGAUUUAUUGGGUUUAAAGGGAGCGUAGACGGCCGUUUAAGUCAGCUGUGAAAUGGUGCGGCUCAACCGUAGCACUGCAGUUGAAACUGGACGGCUUGAGUGCAGUUGAGGCAGGCGGAAUUCGUGGUGUAGCGGUGAAAUGCUUAGAUAU